UACGGAGGGGGCUAGCGUUGUUCGGAAUUACUGGGCGUAAAGGGCGCGUAGGCGGCCGAUCAAGUUAGAUGUGAAAGUCCUGGGCUUAACCUGGGGACUGCAUUUGAUACUGAUUGGCUUGAAUUCGGGAGAGGAUAGCGGAAUUCCCAGUGUAGAGGUGAAAUUCGUAGAUAUUGGGAAGAACACCGGUGGCGAAGGCGGCUAUCUGGACCGACAUUGACGCUGAGGCGCGAAAGCGUGGGGAGCAAACAGG
rnacentral:rRNA from 1 species